GUUGAACGCUGGCGGCGUGCCUAAUACAUGCAAGUCGAGCGAGGCGGGGACGGGUGAGUAACACGUGGCUACCCUCCUAUAGGAAUGGGAUCACUUCGGGAAACCGGAGAUAGAUCGGACACUAAUAUAUGGUACCGAGCUGGAUUAGUUAGGUGGUAAGUUAACGGCUUACCAAGGCAACGAUGCGUAGCCGACCUGUGAGGGUGAUCGGCCAGACGGGAACUGAGACACGGUCCAGACUCCUACGGGAGGCAGCAGUGGGGAAUCUUCCGCAAUGGGCGAAAGCCUGACCCAGCAACGCCGCGUGAGUGAUGAAGGUCGUCGGAUCGUAAAACUCUGUUAUUUGGGAGGCGUUACCUAAUCAGAAAGCCACGGCUAACUACGUGCCAGCAGCCGCGGUAAUUC
rnacentral:rRNA from 1 species